AUGCGGUCAUAUCACGCUAUAAUGUCGGUUCGCGUAUAGCCACCGAAGUUAAGCAACGUCAAGCUUGGUCAGUACUUAGAUGGGUGACCUCUCAGGAAUAGCAGAUGCUGUAAG